rnacentral:rRNA from 1 species
UACGUAGGGACCAAGCGUUGUUCGGAUUUACUGGGCUUAAAGGGUUUGUAGGCGGCCUUGUAAGUCAGGUGUGAAAUCCCUCGGCUCAACCGAGGAAUAGCGCUUGAUACUGCAAGGCUUGAGGGAGACAGGGGUAAGCGGAACUGAUGGUGGAGCGGUGAAAUGCGUUGAUAUCAUCAGGAACACCGGUGGCGAAAGCGGCUUACUGGGUCUCUUCUGACGCUGAGGAACGAAAGCUAGGGGAGCGAACGGG